rnacentral:rRNA from 1 species
UACGUAGGGUGCAAGCGUUGUUCGGAAUUACUGGGCGUAAAGGGCUCGUAGGCGGCCAACUAAGUCAGACGUGAAAUCCCUCGGCUUAACCGGGGAACUGCGUCUGAUACUGGAUGGCUUGAGGUUGGGAGAGGGAUGCGGAAUUCCAGGUGUAGCGGUGAAAUGCGUAGAUAUCUGGAGGAACACCGAUGGCGAAGGCAGCCCCCUGGGUC